AGAGUAUAGCUCAGUGGUAAAGCAUGUGCUUAGCAUGUGUGAGGGUCCUGGGUUCAAUCCCCAGUUCCUCUA
rnacentral:tRNA from 1 species